rnacentral:rRNA from 1 species
GAUGAACGCUAGCUACAGGCUUAACACAUGCAAGUCGAGGGGAAACGAUAUUGGAAGCUUGCUUCCGAUAGGCGUCGACCGGCGCACGGGUGAGUAACGCGUAUCCAACCUGCCCACCACUUGGGAAUAACCUUGCGAAAGUAAGCCUAAUGCCCACUGAUCUCUCUAGAAGACAUCUGAAGGAGAUUAAAGAUUUAUCGGUGAUGGCUGGGGAUGCGUCUGAUUAGCUUGUUGGCGGGGUAACGGCCCACCAAGGCGACGGUCAGUAGGGGGUCUGAGAGGAAGGUCCCCCACAUUGGAACUGAGACACGGUCCAAACUCCUACGGGAGGCAGCAGGGAGGAAUAUUGGUCAAUGGGCGAGAGCCUGAACCAGCCAAGUAGCGUGCAGGAUGACAGCCCUAUGGGUUGUAAACUGCUUUUAUAAGGGAAUAAAGUUAGUCUCGUGAGACUUUUUGCAUGUACCUUAUGAAUAAGCACCGGCUAACUCUGUGCCAGCCGCCGCAGUAA